rnacentral:rRNA from 1 species
CACGCCGUAAACGAUGAGCACUAGGUGUCGGGGUCGCAAGGCCUCGGUGCCGGAGUUAACGCAAUAAGUGCUCCGCCUGGGGAGUACGGCCGCAAGGCUAAAACUCAAAGGAAUUGACGGGGACCCGCACAAGCAGCGGAGCAUGUGGUUUAAUUCGAAGCAACGCGAAGAACCUUACCGGGACUUGACAUCCUGCUGACAGACCCGUAAUCGGGUCCUCCUACGGGCAGAAGAGACAGGUGG